AUACGUAGGUGACAAGCGUUAUCCGGAUUUACUGGGUGUAAAGGGCGUGUAGGCGGUUUAGCAAGUCAGAAGUGAAAUUCCCGGGCUUAACUUGGGCGCUGCUUCUGAAACUGCUUUACUUGAGUGCUGGAGAGGAUAGUGGAAUUCCUAGUGUAGAGGUAAAAUGCGCAGAUAUUAGGAGGAACACCGGUGGCGAAGGCGGCUAUCUGGACAGUAACUGACGCUGAGGCGCGAAAGCACGGGGAGCAAACAGGAUUAGAUACCCUGGUAGUCCGUGCCGUAAACGAUGAAUACUAGGUGUAGGGGGUAUCGACUCCCUCUGUGCCGCAGUUAACACAUUAAGUAUUCCACCUGGGGAGUACGGCCGCAAGGUUGAAACUCAAAUGAAUUGACGGGG
rnacentral:rRNA from 1 species